UAAGGAAUAUUGGUCAAUGGACGCAAGUCUGAACCAGCCAUGCCGCGUGAAGGAUGAAGGUCCUCUGGAUUGUAAACUUCUUUUAUAGGGGACGAAAUCAACAUUUCCAUGUUGUCUGACGGUACCCUAGGAAUAAGCACCGGCUAACUCCGUGCCAGCAGCCGCGGUAAUACGGAGGGUGCAAGCGUUAUCCGGAUUCACUGGGUUUAAAGGGUGCGUAGGAGGGCAGGUAAGUCAGUGGUGAAAUCUCCGGGCUUAACUCGGAAACUGCCGUUGAUACUAUCUGUCUUGAAUAUUGUGGAGGUGAGCGGAAUAUGUCAUGUAGCGGUGAAAUGCUUAGAUAUGACAUAGAACACCGAUUGCGAAGGCAGCUCGCUACACAUAUAUUGACUCUGAGGCACGAAAGCGUGGGGAUCAAACAGG
rnacentral:rRNA from 1 species